CUCCUUGUAGCUUAGUGGUAGAACACUGGUGCGUGAAACCAGGAAUCCGGGUUUGAUUCCCGGUAAGGAAA
rnacentral:tRNA from 1 species